rnacentral:lncRNA from 1 species
UCUACCUCCUAAGUGCUGGGAUUAAAGGCGUGUACCACAACUGCCCGGCCUUUUUCAAGAUUUAUUUAUUUAUUUUAUGUAUGUGAGUACACUGUAGCUGUACAGAUGGUUGUGAGCCUUAAUGUGAUUAUUGGGAAUUGAAUUUUUAGGACCCCUGCUUGCUCUGGUCAACCCCGCUUGCUCCAGCCCAAAGAUUUAUUUAUUAUUAUACAUAAGUACACUGUAGCUGACUUCAGAUACACCAGAAGAGGGCGUCAGAUCUCAUUACUGGUGGUUGUGAGCCACCAGAUGGUUGCUGGGAUUUGAACCUUUGGAAGAGCAGUCUGUGCUUUACCCACUGAGCCCUCUCUCCAGCCCUUUUUGUUUGUUUGUUUGUUUUUUUUUUUUUUUUUUGAGACAGUCUCAACAUGUAGCUUUGGCAAGUCUGGAACUUACUAUGUAGACCAGGCUGGUCUCAAACUCAUAGAGAGCUACUUGUCUUUGCCUUGGAACUUCUGGUAUUAAAGGCAUGUAUCAUUCCAUCCCACCCUCACCCCAUUUUAAUUGUUUGUAUUUUAAGUAUAUGGGUAUUUUGCCUGCAUAUAUGUCUAUACUAUGUGUGUGCAGGGCCCAUGAAGGCCAGAAGAGGGCAUCAGAUCUUCUGGAAAUGUUACAGUCAGUUGUUGGCUUUCUGUGGGUGCUAGCAACAGAACUUGGGUCUUCUGCAAAAAAAAACAAAAACAAAAACAAAACAACAACAACAAAAAGCAACAACAAUAAAAACCUCAAGUGCUCUUAAUCUCUGAAGCAUAUCUCCAGUCCUUUUUACACACCUUUAAUCACUAUCAGAAGAUGGAAAACACAGAGAUACAAGAAAAGAUAUCCUUUCAGGGCUUAUUUUGGUUUAUAAAUGUAGUCUACAUGGUGACAAUAUUAAGACAAUUCCUAAGAAGUAAAUAUUAUUAUGUCAUCUUAUUUUGAAACAGAUGUCACAAAUUGCUGAAAAGCAAUUGUGGGUAUCUGAAAUCAUUUCGAUGGGUCCUUUACUCUCGUUCUCUGCACUACCACUAGUAUACCUAUAAAAGGAAGUUCAUAAAGAUGAAAUCUCAUACUAAAUAUAAACUACUUUAUUGGAUUUCUUUUUUGCUAGUCCAUUUGUACCUGGUAUGCCUCUUAGUCAUUUAUUUAAUCAUUCUACAGUCAUGAAGACCCAUAGGAAUAUGAUAGGAUCUUGCUCUAGGAAACAAGUGUUUUACUCUAAUGAGAUCAAUACUAUGAUAGAAACUUGUCAGAGGGUUCAGUAAGAACUCAGAUGAGAUAGCUAAUGCUUAGGAAGAUGGUUAAGAAGAGACUUACAUAAAGCACUCACUCCUGGCCAAGAAUAGGUCAGAGUUGUGAGAGUUAUGGGAAAAGGAAGGGUACAUCAGGAAGAAAAAACAGCAAAUGAUGGUGUGAUGUAAGCACUCUUCUGGAAAUUUUAUGUGGAACUUAUAUAUUGUUAAAAAUGCAAGAUACAGUGUAGCAUCUCACAGGAGAGCCCUGUGUUUCAUCCUCAAAGGUCACAUUUCAUCUUUUUAUAUGUAUGUGUUUGUUUGUAUAUCUGUACAUACUGGACAUUUAAGUUGUAUAUUUUUAAAUUGAUGGAGCUUAUAAAAAUAGUGUUAAUGAAUCUUUCUCAUCUAUCUAUUAUCCAGUAUCAGCAGUUACCAUCUCAAGCAGUUAUAUCUUAAGUGUAUGGGUGUACAUACUGCAUAUAUGUCUAUAUACUACUUGUAUGCUUAGGAAAGAGUGUUGGAUUUCUUGGAAGUGAGCUGCUUGCUAUAUAGAUGCUCAAAACUGAACCUACAUCCUCUGGAAGAGCAACCAGUGCUCUGUAACCAUUGAGCUAUUUCUCUAGCCCAGUGUCUAGUUUCUGAAUAUGACUCUACUCUCACUUCUUUUCCUUUCUCAAUUAUGUUCAUAUUAGAUACCAUAUAUUCCAUAUAAAUAUGUGUGUAUGAAUAUAUAUAUGAUAUAGAUUCUUUCUAAAAGUUUUAUUUGUUUUAUGUAUGUGCAUAUUUGUGUGAGUUUAUGUGCACCAUGUAUAUGCAGGAGGUAGCAGAGGUCCAAAGAGGGAAUCUGACCUCUGGAACUGCACCAUGUGGCUGUAAUAUGCAUUCUUAACCAGUGAGCCAACUAGCUAGCACCCAGGCUUUUGUUUUGUUGUUGUUGUUGUUUUUUGUUUUGUUGUUUUUUUUUUACGAAAAAGACCAAGAAAACCCACUAAUUAGGUGGAUGGUUCUAUGAGCAACUAGGAAGAACUGUUUGAGGAAGAACAAUUAUAGAAUACAGGUGGAGUUUAAGAUAUGUGAAUUAUUGAAUUAUUGCAGAUAUGCAGUUGUUAAUUCUGCCUUCCAAAGAACAGCUAGAAAAUGAAGAGGGCUAAGUGUGACGUCACAUGGAAGAGUGUGAGGGAUAGACUCAGGGAGAUAAGUCUAUAAACAAAGCUGAGAAGUGAUUAAAGAGAUAGGAGAAAAGGGGAAAAGAUAAGUUCAGGGCUGAGGGUGGGUAGCUGAAUGGCAGAGUGAGGCUUGCCUAGCAUCCCUGAGGCCCUGGCUUUGAGAAGUGGAAAGGCCAGAUGUGUCAACAGUCAAACAAGUAAACAAGGCCAGAAGACCGGAUGCCCACGUCGCAGUGCAGAGGUCACUGGGCCAUUGGUAAUGCUGGAGGAUUGUUUCAGUGGAAUACUGUAAGAGAGUAUAAAGAUUAAUAUAGAGUAUUAAGGAGUGGGGGAAGUGAUAUAGCGCCACUAUGGACCAAUAUUUAGGAAUCUUAUGGGAAGAGAAAAAGAAAGGCAGUCACAAAAGAGAACUCAAUGGAGGAUUUUUUUUUAACUAUUUUUAAAAAGCGAGAUAAUUUUGUGAUUUUUCUGGGCUGAACUUUGAGGUCCUGAGCUCACAUGAUUCUCUGCCCCAGCCUCUUGUGACUACAGGGGAGCCCCAUAUUUACCACUCUUGUGAGAAUGAAACAACUUCAGGAAUGUGUACAGUCUGAAGGGAAGGAGUCAAAGGGCUUUAAAUCUCGGAGAGACCUUAAGUACAUUAGUGGCCUUGAAGAGAUGGAGGAAGCAUAGAUGGACAAAAUUACAUGUAUCUUCUGACUCAAAAUUCCUACUUCUUGGUAUUUUUCUGAGGGGGAAAAAUCAGUAAUGUCCUAGAAUAAGUACCAAGACGGCUAGUGGUUGGACCAAGAUUAUUUUUUACUCCCUGUCACAUGGACGUCCCAAGCCACUGCCUGCCUCCUGUGAUGCAUUGUUACAGUGGAGGGACAGCUCAUCCCCUGUGCUGAUGCUCGUCUAGAAAGAAAUUGAAUGAUGAAGAGGCUUAUCAACAGUACAAAUUAUGGGUGACUUUUACAUUUGACUCAAGUUGUUGUCUAGUAGUUUUAUUUAGUAUAAUUUAUUAACAUAAUAGUCACCUUUCAAAAGUGUAUAGUUCUGCGACUUUUGUAAAUUUAUAUAACAGCAUAAUUAUUUUUUAGUUUAAAACAUUCUUAAAAUUUUUAAAAUUAAAAAAAGAAAAAAAUUUAAAAAUUGU